AAAAUCUAGGUUUUUUAUUAUUAGGUAUUGCAUACCGUUUAAAGAAAAUUUUAUUGUAAUAAAAUAUAAAAUUAAAAGGUAGAAUUUUUAUUAUUUUUAUUGUUUCAUAAUAAAAAUUAUAAAAUUUAGGGUUGAAAAGUCGACUUUUAGGAUAUUUGUUUAUAGUUGUAUUUAUUAGAAAUUUAUAAUUUGAGUGUAACAGAUUGUAUAAAAAGUAAAAGUUGAAGUAUUUUUAUAGUUAGUAUUAUAACUGUUUAUACAAUGUUAAAGUUAGGUUUAGAAUGGAAUUAAUAAUUAUUAAAACAAUAAUAGUUAAAUUAUUUUAAUAUUAGUAAUUUAAUUUAAAUUAGUUAAAAUUUUUUAAUUUAAUAAAAUAAUUAAAAAUUUAAUCAAAUGUUUUUUAAAGACUUAGACUUUUAAAUAAAGUUUGCUUCUGCCCAAUGAUUAAUUAAAUGGCACUCUUAGCGU
rnacentral:rRNA from 1 species